rnacentral:rRNA from 1 species
CCCUUAGAUGUUCUGGGCCGCACGCGCGCUACGCUGACGAAUGCAACGAGCUUAUAACCUUGGCCGAUAGGUCUGGGUAAUCUUUGAACGCUGUUCGUGAUUGGGAUAGACCUUUGCAAUUAUGGGUCUUCAACGAGGAAUUCCUAGUAAACGCAAGUCAUCAGCUUGCAUUGAUUACGUCCCUGCCCUUUGUACACACCGCCCGUCGCACCUACCGAUUGAAUGGUCCGGUGAAAUCUCGGGACGGCGGCUUGGUCGCUUGCGUCCGACUGCUGAAACUUGAUUAAACCAUAUCAUUUAGAGGAAGGUGAANUCGUANCA